CUUCUGCUCCAAGUGGUGCUGAUUGGGCUCAUUGUACAUUUGUAGUCUGUCAAUGUCAGCUCGUCCUGGUUGGUAAUGACUGUUGGUUGUAUCUUUCUCUCCAAAAGGCUUCCAGUAGGCCAGUGCAGGCUCCUUUACAUGAAGUCAGAAGCAUUCCAAAAAGGUCAAGGCAAAAAUCACAAGACCUCUGGAACUCACCCCAAAUCACUUUUGCUUCAGCCUAUUUGUUAAAACCAGUCACAAAGCCAGCCCAGAUUAAAAGGGAUGGGAAAAUGGAUUCCUUCUCUGGGUAUAAGGAGCAGCAAAUAGGGAAUAAAUAAUGGAAUGGGAGGAAUCUGUGGUUAUUAAACAAUCUCCUCUUUCUGAGACCUCUAUAAAUGUCCCUUCUUUUCCUUCUCUUUAGAAUUCCAGUUGCAUCUGGAUGUGCCUUCUGCUUCCUACUGGGACCCUACCAGGUCUGCGAUGAGAAAAGGAGCUUGUACCAGAAUCAGCCUGCCUUGGCCUCCCAAAGUGCUGAGAUUGCAGCCUCUGCCUGGCCGCCACCCCGUCUGGGAAGUGAGGAGCAUCUCCGCCUGGCCGCCCAUCAUCUGGGAUGUGAGGAGCCCCUCUGCCUGGCUGCCCAGUCUGGAAAGUGAGGAGCGUCUCUGCCUGGCCGCCAUCCCAUCUAGGAAGUGAGGAGCGCCUCUUCCCGGCCACCAUCACAUCUGGGAAGUGAGGAGCGUCUCUGCCCGGCCGCCCAUCGUCUGAGAUGUGGGGAGCACCUCUGCCCUGCCGCCCCGUCCGGGAUGUGAGGAGCGUCUCUGCCUGGUCGCCCCGUCUGAGAAGUGAGGAGACCCUCUGCCUGGCAACCGCCCCGUCUGAGAAGUGAGGAGCCCCUCCGCCCGGCAGCCGCCCCGUCUGAGAAGUGAGGAGCCCCUCCACCCAGCAGCCACCCCGUCUGGGAGGCGUGGGGGGUUGCUGUUACUGUUUCUGCCUGACAAGAGAGCAUGUGGAGGUGUGGAGCAUCAGGCAACUAGUCCAGGCCCAAACCGCUUGGGUGUGGAGGAGCAGCAUGGCCAAGAUUUGCACCCAUCCACUCAGCUCCAGAGCGUGCACUUCUGCCAGGUGCCUGAAAGCAGGAAAACACAUUUCAUGCUAAACAGUAAGAACAGGCCCCAGCUUGGAAAGUCCUCAGAGGUUCUCAUGUUUCUUGUGUCAUCUGCAACUGUAGGGUACCAUGGGCUGAGUGACUCAAUCUGAAUAAUUGUACUUUGAGGAUUUCUAGGGGAAGCACCCAGGGCAAUCUUCUGACUGGGAUCUUAUGCUCACUCCAGAUUGCAAUGCAUUCAUUCAACAAAAAUUGAUUGCUCACGCAAUGUGUGCUGAAGACGCUCUCAGAGACUGAGGACCCAUAGUGAGCAACCUGGACACAAAGGGGCUUACACUGUGUCGGGGGAGGCUACCAAGAGAAUCUCCCGUGGGAAUAGGCUGCAGAGCUAAAGGUGUAGAACUUGGGAACCUAGUAAUGACUGGGAGUUAAAGAACGACUCUUCAAGGAGAUGGCACUAGAGGUAUGAAACGAAGGAGGAGAAAGAAAUGUAUUCAUCUCCUGGGGCUGCCAUAACAGAAUAUUAUAAAUUGGGGAGCUUAAAAUAACAGAAAAGUAUUUUUCCACAGCUCUGAAGACUAGCAGUCUGAAAUCAAGGUGUCAGCAGGACUGUGCUCCCUCUGAAAGCUGUAGGGAAGAGCCUUUCCUUGCCUCUUCCUAGUUUCUGGUGGUUGCCAGCAAUCCUUGGUGCUCCUUGGCUUGUAGAUGCAUCAUUCCCACCUUUACCUCCAUCUUCUCAAGGCCUCCCCACUGUGUGUCUCUGUCCUCAGGACACCAGCCAGUGGAUUAGGGGCCACCGUCAUCCAGAGUGACCUUAUUUGAACUUGAUCGCAUCUGCGAAGACCCUAUUUCUAUUAUACAUAAGGUCACAUUCACAGGUUCUGGAAGUCCGAACUUCAGCAUAUCUUUUGGGAGACACAAUUCAGCACACUGCAGGAAGCAACACAGGCAGGGUGAGCGUCUAACAAAGCCCUGAGCUCGGCAGCAGAUGGAGGCUUCAGGAAGGAAGGAAGCCAGUGUGUCUGGAGCCCAGUGAGGAAAGGGGAAAGUGGGUGGCAGUCAGAUCAUACGGACCCAGGAGAUGGUAAAGAGCAACAGGGGAAUUCACCAGUUUUUAACUCUGAGAUAGACACACUUUUUCCAGCUCAUGCUGUUUGCCUCAAAGAGGUCAGCAUCCCAGCACAGAGUUGUGGCCACCCAGCCUCUUCAUAGUCUGAUGCACCACACCUGUGACUGGCCUGCCACUCCGGAGCACCAGAGGUGAGGCAAAAAUAGCUUAUGGUGUUGACAGCUCUCUGCUCUGGGAAACCAGAGGCUAAAGGUGUCCCCUUUUACUGUACAGUUGCUGCCUGAGUGCAUCCUGAUGGGCAGCAGGGGAAACCAGAAAGGGCCCUUCUCUGAAAAAAAAAAAAAAAAAAAAAAAAAAGGAAAACUUGGACAUAUAUAUGUAUAUCAAAAGGUUUGUGCUUGAAGUAAAGAUUUGUUUUCUGUGCAGACUGUCUUUGGUAUAAGGAAGUCCAAUUAUUUGUUUUACAAAUACUUAUGGAGUGCCUACCAUGUCACAGAUACUUUUCUUGGAAAGAGAUAAGACAAAAAUCACUGCCUUCUUGAAGUUUAUAUUCCAGGGGAGUAAGAGAAACUAAUAAAUCAACUCAAACAAUUAAUUGUAGAACCCAUUAGGAGACACCAAGAACAAUGGAGGAAAAUAAAACCAGCAAAGAGCAUAGUGAGCUUCGUGGGAUGUGGGGAAGUUUCAGUGUUAAAUCUGGUGGCCAGGGAAGGCCUCAUGGAAAUGAUGAUACCCGAGCAAAGACUGAGAAGGGAUGAGGAAGUGGACAAAUAGGCUAGAGAGGACACAGCAGGUGCAGAGAACCUGAGGCAGAAGUAUGCCUGGAGGGUCUGAGUUAUGACAAAGGGGCCAGGAUGCCAGGGCGAAAUGAGAUGGAAAGGACGAGGACGUGAUCAGAGACAUCACAGGGCUGCAUCCCACGGGCCUCGCAGGCCACAGUGAGGCCUGUGGCUUUUACUCAGAAUUAGGUGGAACCCUUUGAGGGUUUUGAAGCAAAUGGGCUUAUGAGCUCUGGCUGCCCUUUCAAAGGAUCACCCUGGCUGCUGUUUUGAAGACAGACUGAGAGGCAAAGGCACAAGCUGGGAGCCCAGCCCAGGGGCUGUUACAAAAAUUCCAGGCAGGAAUGAGGGUGGCUUCGACCAAGAAGUGAGAGGAGGUCAUAGUCUGGAUACAUUUGACAGAUGGACUGGAUAGAUAGCAUAACUGCCCAAGAGAUUCUUCCUGCCCACUGCAUCCAUGCACCAUGGUCAGCAGUGUCCCGCCGGUAGAGAUGGUGCCAGAGUCAGCCCCCAUCUCUCUGCCAGGAGAACUAGGCAGCCGUUUGAGCUGGCCUCCAGGCCUGUUGCCAGUGGGGGGCUACCGAAUCAUACACAGGUAGCCACCAGCACAAUCCCACAUGAGACCCCAAAUUUGUUACUGCCCAAGGGGUUAUUCCUGCCCACUGCAUAAAGAAAGACCACGGCAUUGUAGUAGAAAAAGAAUUUAAUAGACACGAGGCCGGCCACGCCACGUGGGCGAUGAAGUUCGUACUCAUCUUAUUCAAAGCUCAUAGGUUAGGGAUUUUUCAAAGGCAGUUUGGGGGAAGGGGUGGGGGUGGACAGGUAACAGGUGCUUGCUGCUGAGUGGUUGGGGCAGAGAUGAAAUCGUAAUGGGUUGAAGCUGUCCUCCUGUUGGGCUGAAUUGCUUCUGGGUGGAGCCAUAAGGUCCAGGUGGAGUCAUGGGUGUCAGACAUGCAAAAAACCUGGAAAGAUAUUUCAAAAGGCCAAUCUGUAAUAGUAGUGUUAUUCACAGGAGCAAUUGGGAAAGUUGCAUAUCUUAUAACCUUCGGAAUAAUGUCUGCAGCUUAGUAGGAUUCAGGCUCUUCUCCUCCCCGCACCCUGAUGGCCCCCUAACAGCUUUACAAAAGUGGCUGAGUUUUGGGCAAGGCCUAUUAUCAUUUAAACUGUAGCCUAAAUGUCUUCCAAAGUUAGCUUGACCCAAUAGCCCAGGAAUAAUUAAGAGAAAGGCAAGAUGGAGGUUGGGUUGGCUUAGCUUACUGUUAUAAUUUUCUCAUUGACACACCUUUUGCAAAGGUGGUUUCAACAGGAUGGAUGAGAGAGGGGAUGACCAACUGAAGUUCCUCAUCUAAACCAUAGCCUUCCCCAUCUCAAGGCCUUUGUCAGAACAUCUUUCCCAUCCUCCCUGCAGCAGGUUCCUUUAGGUCUGGGCUUGACUGUCACCUCCCCAGAGAGGGCUUUGCUGGACCGCAGCUCAAGUGUGCUCCCCCUGUAAUUCUCAUUCCCGUCCAUGUGGAUGUUGUACUUAAACACAAGUUAGUGGCCUGCUUAGGUUUUGGUCUAUUGCCUUGAUUUGAGUCUGUGCCCCACACUGGAUGCAUCGAUCUCCAGGAGAGCAGAGACCUGGUUUCUCUUGUGCAGUGCUACAUCCAAGAACCAAGCUCAGGGCCACUCAGAGGAGGUGCCCACAUGAUAUUUAAAUGAGUGCAUAUUUACAUAAAGAUAUAAAAUAUCUAACAAGGCAUUUGUUUCGGGAAGGAGGGAAGGAAGGGAGGGAGGAAAGAAGGAAGGAAGGAAGGAAGGAAGGGAGGGAGGGAUGGAGGGAGGAAGGUUGGGAGGGAGGGAGGGAAGGAGAAUUUAUGGAAUUUGCAGACUCAGCAUUUAAACCCAGGUUUGCUUACCCAAAUCUCACUCACUUUCUACUUCCCUCCUCCACCCCAUACAG
rnacentral:lncRNA from 10 species